CGGGUGAGUAAUGCGUGACCAACCUGCCCCAUGCUCCAGAAUAGCUCUUGGAAACGGGUGGUAAUGCUGGAUGCUCCAACUUGACGCAUGUCUUGUUGGGAAAGUGUUUAGUGGCAUGGGAUGGGGUCGCGUCCUAUCAGCUUGUAGGCGGGGUAAUGGCCCACCUGGGCUUCGACGGGUAGCCGGCCUGAGAGGGCGGACGGCCACAUUGGGACUGAGAUACGGCCCAGACUCCUACGGGAGGCAGCAGAU
rnacentral:rRNA from 1 species